UACGUAGGGGGCUAGCGUUGUCCGGAUUUAUUGGGCGUAAAGAGCGUGUAGGCGGCCAUGUAGGUCCGGUGUGAAAACUCGAGGCUUGACCUCGAGAUGUCAUCGGAAACCAUUUGGCUAGAGUCCGGAAGAGGAGAGUGGAAUUCCUGGUGUAGCGGUGAAAUGCGCAGAUAUCAGGAAGAACACCAAUGGCGAAAGCAGCUCUCUGGGACGGUACUGACGCUGAGACGCGAAAGCGUGGGGAGCGAACAGG
rnacentral:rRNA from 1 species